GUCUUCCCUGGCUCUGCCCCCACAGCUUUCUCCAAACAUCCCUGGCCCUCAGGACCUGGACGCCUGUGCUAGCGGCUUUGAUGGCAGAACUGAACAGGUACUCACCAGGCAGCCAUUGAGAUUACUCAUAAUAGCCAGAACCUGGAAACAAUCUAGAUGCCCCUCAACUGAAGAGUGGAUAAAGAAAAUGUGGUGCAUAUACACAAUGGAGUAUUACUCAGCUGUAAAAAACAAUGACCUCGUGAAAUUUGCAGGCAAAUGGAUGGAACUAGAAAAUAUCAUCCUGAGUGAGAUAACCCAGACUCAGAAAUACAAAUGUGGAUACUAGAUGUAAAGCAAAGGAUAAGCAGAUGACAACUCACAGCUCCAGGGAAGCUAGGAAACAAGGAGGACCCUAAGAGAUGGAUCACCUUGGGAAGGGGAAACAGAUGAGAUCUCCAUGAGUAAACUGGGUAUGGGGGCAGGGCAUUAGAGGGGAGAGGAUGGGGAAAGAGAACAUGAGGGAAUGGGAUGGUUGAGCUGAAAGAGGGGCGAAGUGGGAGAGCAAUGAAAGAGAUAUCUUGAUAGAGGGGGACAUUAUGGGGUAAGGGAGAAACCUGGUGCUAGGGAAGUUCCCAAGAAUCCACAAGGAUGACUCCAGAUAAGAUUACUAGCAAUAGUGGAGAGGGUGCCUGAACUGGCCUACCCUGGUAAUCAGAUUGGUGAAUAUCCUGUCAUCAUAGAGCCUUCAUCUAGUAACAGACUGAAACAGAUGCAGAGAUCCACAGCCAAGCACCAGGCCAAGCUCCAGGAGUCUGGUCGAAGAGAGGGAAGAGGGAUUAUAUGAGAAAGGGGGGUCAAGAUCAUGAUGGGGAAAUCUACAGAGACAACUGAACCAAGCUCAUAGGAACUCAUGAACUUUAGACCGACAGCUGUGGAACCUGACUAGACCCUCUGCAUACGGGAGAAAGUUGUGUAGCUUGGUCUGUUUGAGGGGUCCCUGGCAAUGGGAUCAGGAUCUAUCUCUGGUGCAUGAGCUGGCUUUCUGGAGCCUAUUACCUAUGGUGGGACACCUUGCUCAGUCUUGAUGCAGAGGGAAGGGGCUUGGUCCUGCCUCAAAUGAACAUAUCAGGCUUUGCUGACUCCCCAUGGUAGGCCUUACCCUUUUGCAAAGGGGAUGGGAGAUGGGCUGAGGAGAGGGGAGGUUGAAAGUGGGGAGCGGGAGGAGGGAUGAGAGAGGGAUCCGUGGUUGGUAUGUAAAAAUAAAAAAUUUUUAAAAAGAGAUGAUAGAUGUUUGAGGAGACAGAUGUUUGCCCUGAUUUAGAUGUUACACAUGUGUACAUUAACAAAACAUCACAGGUACCCCAUAACUAUGUGUAAUUUUAAUAUACCCGUUAAAAUAAAUUCAUUAUUAUUA